ACCGAUUUUUCUCCGUACGCGACGUAGCGCCUGUGCUCACGCACACACGCGCCUCAAGCUUGUAGUAGUGUACCUAUCGUAGCGCGCUUGUAUGAAGCUUUGCCUCUGUUCGCUACUCAUGUGUCGUAGCAGCGGGAGUUUUCCGCGGCAUCUAUUUUGCGAUCCCAAUUCCAAAACCAGUUGCUCGAAAAUUGAAAUUUUAAUAGUGUUACUUUAUUUUAAAGUUUGUGCCUAUAUUAUUUCUGAUCGUUAUGUUAUAUAUGUAUACAUUGCGGUGCUAACGAGCAUUCUCAUCGUGGCAGCGGGAGUUUUCCGCGGCAUCUAUUUUGCGAUCCCAUUCCAAAUUCAGUUGCUCGAAAAUUAAAAUUUUAAUAGUGUUACUUUAUUUUUAAGUUUAUGCCUUUGUGAUCGUUAUGUUAUAUAGGUAUACGCCAUUGCGGUGCUAACGAGCAUUCUCAUCGUAGCAGCUGGAGUUUUCCGCGGCAUCUAUUUUGCGAUCCCAAUUCCAAAACCAGUUGCUCGAAAAUUGAAAUUUUAAUAGUAUUACUUUAUUUUUAAGUUUAUGCCUAUAUUAUUUCUGAUCGUUAUUGUAUCUGAAUAUAUAGGUAUACAUUGCGGUGCUAACAAACAUUUUCUUCGUAGCAGCUGGAGUUUUCCGCGGCAUCUAUUUUGCGAUCCCAAUUCCAAAACCAGUUGCUCGAAAAUUGAAAUUUUAAUAGUGUUACUUUAUUUUUAAGUUUAUGCCUAUAUUAUUUCUGAUCAUUAUUGUAUCUGAACAAUAGGUAUACAUUGCGGUGCUAACAAACAUUUUCAUCGUAGCAGCUGGAGUUUUCCGCGGCAUCUAUUUUGCGAUCCCAAUUCCAAAACCAGUUGCUCGAAAAUUGAAAUUUUAAUAGUGUUACUUUAUUUUUAAGUUUAUGCCUAUAUUAUUUCUGAUCAUUAUUGUAUCUGAAUAAUAGGUAUACAUUUCGGUGCUAACAAACAUUUUCAUCGUAGCAGCUGGAGUUUUCCGCGGCAUCUAUUUUGCGAACCCAAUUCCAAAACCAGUUGCUCGAAAAAUGAAAUUUAAAUAGUGUGUGUUCCUUUAUUUUUAAGUUUAUGCCUAUAUCAUAUCUGAUCGUUGUUAUCUGAAUAUAUAGGUAUAUCAUUCUUU